GACAGAGGGUGCAAACGUUGUUCGGAAUUACUGGGCGUAAAGCGCGUGUAGGCGGCUCGGAAAGUCGGAUGUGAAAGCCCUGGGCUUAACCUAGGAAGUGCAUUCGAAACUCCCGAGCUUGAGUUCUGGAGAGGAAGGCGGAAUUCUCGGUGUAGAGGUGAAAUUCGUAGAUAUCGAGAGGAACACCGGUGGCGAAGGCGGCCUUCUGGACAGUGACUGACGCUGAGGUGCGAAAGCGUGGGGAGCAAACAGG
rnacentral:rRNA from 1 species